rnacentral:rRNA from 1 species
AUUGAACGCUGGCGGCAGGCCUAACACAUGCAAGUCGAGCGGAUGAAGGGAGCUUGCUCCUGGAUUCAGCGGCGGACGGGUGAGUAAUGCCUAGGAAUCUGCCUGGUAGUGGGGGAUAACGUCCGGAAACGGGCGCUAAUACCGCAUACGUCCUGAGGGAGAAAGUGGGGGAUCUUUGGACCUCACGCUAUCAGAUGAGCCUAGGUCGGAUUAGCUAGUUGGUGGGGUAAAGGCCUACCAAGGCGACGAUCCGUAACUGGUCUGAGAGGAUGAUCAGUCACACUGGAACUGAGACACGGUCCAGACUCCUACGGGAGGCAGCAGUGGGGAAUAUUGGACAGUGGGCGAAAGCCUGAUCCAGCCAUGCCGCGUGUGUGAAGAAGGUCUUCGGAUUGUAAAGCACUUUAAGUUGGGAGGAAGGGCAGUAAGUUAAUACCUUGCUGUUUUGACGUUACCAACAGAAUAAGCACCGGCUAACUUCGUG